rnacentral:ncRNA from 1 species
CGAAUAGUUAAACGUUCAGGUGCUUCUGCCGAACGGCAGGAGGUAAAAGGGAAAAGGGUGCGAAACCCUUGCUGUCCCGCAACUGUGAACGGUGAUGAAAGCCGCAACGAUGCCACUGGACUCCUUGUUGAUUUGAAGGCGAGGAAUUUUUCGUCCUGGCUAGGAACGCGAGCUGAAGCGCGGAGGCGUACCGAGGUACGCCGCACAAGCUGAAGCGAAGCGUGACAACGCCAGGGCGGAAAAGGACCGCCUUCUUCCGGGAAGGCGCGGCGAGUAAAGUGAUCCGUGAGCCAGGAAACCUGCCUGAAUGUCCGCUUUACA